rnacentral:rRNA from 1 species
GAAUCAGUACGCUGGUCGUGCCUUCGGUAUGUACUGGUGUCACUGGUUUCUCCCUUCUGAAGAACCAUCAUGCCAUUCACUUGGUGUGGUGGGAAAUCAGGACUGUUACUUUGAAAAAAUUAGAGUGUUUAAAGCAGGCAAUUUUCGCUUGAAUAGAUUAGCAUGGAAUAAUAGAAUAGG